rnacentral:rRNA from 1 species
GAAAUCAAUCAUUAUUUAGUAUACACAUGCAAGUCUCCGCACCCCUGUGAAAACGCCCUAAAAUCCCCAGUAGGGAAUAGGAGCCGGUAUCAGGCACAACCUAUUUGCCCAAAACACCUAGCCUCGCCACACCCACAAGGGUUUACAGCAGUGAUUAACCUUGAGCAUAAGCGACAGCUUGACUCAGCUAAAUUAUCUAGAGCUGGCCAAUCUGGUGCCAGCCGCCGCGGUUACACCAGAAGCUCAAAUUGAUUUCUACCGGCGUAAAGCGUGAUUAAAGCUAUUAUUUACUGGAAUCUAAUUAAAACUGAGCUGUGACACGCCUGUUAUCCAAGAAGACCAAAAACUAAAGUUAUUCCAA